UACGUAGGGACCGAGCGUUAGGCGGAAUCACUGGGCUUAAAGCGUGUGUAGGCGGAUUGCUAAGUACCUUGUGAAAUCCCACGGCUUAACCGUGGAACUGCUUGGUAUACUGGCUGUCUUGAGCCACUUAGGGGCGACCGGAACAAACGGUGGAGCGGUGAAAUGCGUAGAUAUCGUUUGGAACGCCAAAGGUGAAAACAGGUCGCUGGGAGUGUGCUGACGCUGAGACACGAAAGCCAGGGGAGCAAACGGG
rnacentral:rRNA from 1 species